CUUGACGUUGGAUCACUACAGCAACUCUGGAAUCCAUAUACUGUUGGAGGAAGGGAAUGAGGUGCAACAUUGAAGCCAGGAUGACAUUCGAAGGCUCCAUCCCAGAGGACCUUCCAUUUACACACAGGCAUGCCCAUUGCUGUUGUGUGAGAGGCAGCAAAGUCUCUGAAGCAAUGCAGACAUCCUUCAAUAGCAGAGCUGAUGACUACAUUGGGGAACGUUCAUUCAAUAGCAUACCUCGGAGUGGCCAGCUUGAAUCAUGGAGCUCCAUGAUCAGCAUGGAUGAAUCUCCAACCACGAUGUUCAAAAUAGAAAAACAUGCAACGGAAUGAUGGAUACCAAACUCAGGACAGUGGUCCACUCUACAGAAGGAAAAAGGGACGAUGAGACCAGGGAGAGGCAGAGAGAAGAUCUCCAAGGCAUCUGCAACCUUUUCUUUCAUAAAAAUAAUAUCCAAAUAAACAAUGG